rnacentral:rRNA from 1 species
AGACGUAGGGGGCAAGCGUUGUCCGGAAUUAUUGGGCGUAAAGAGCUCGUAGGUGGGAUUAUAAGUCAGCAAGUAAAUAUCUCGGCUCAACUGAGAUCUCAUUGUUGAUACUGUAAUUCUUGAGGACAGGAGAGGAAAGUGGAAUUCCCGGUGUAGCGGUGAAAUGCGUAGAGAUCGGGAGGAACACCAGUGGCGAAGGCGGCUUUCUGGCCUGAUUCUGACACUGAGGAGCGAAAGCU